rnacentral:lncRNA from 1 species
GAAAAGUAUGAAAAAAAAAAAAUUUCAAGAAAUUUUUUUGGGUCAAUUGCAUAAGGUCCCUACAAACAUAAUGAAUUACAGAUAUAUUCCUGUAAAGUUUAAUUUUCAUAAGUUAUUCCUACAAAAAUUCUAAUGUUUUCAGAUAUGUCCCUGUCGUUAAAAUCCAUUAGAAAAGUUUAGUUAACCAUAGGUUAAAUGCUUUACCCGGAUUAAUUUUUGACAUUUUUACCCCUGUUAUAUUAUACUGUUAUAAUUUUUGGAGGGGCAUAUUUGUGAUGGCAAAAUUGAAAAUAUAAAAAUUUUUUAACGGUUCUCUAACGGUAACAAACUAGAGGGACAUAUCUGAAAACAUUAUGACUUUUGCAUGGAUAACUUAUGAAAGUUAAACUUUACAGAGAUAUAUUUGUAAUUCACUAUGUUUGCGGAGACCUAUAUGCAAUUAGCCCAAAUUUGUUUAU